rnacentral:lncRNA from 1 species
CUUGGCAGCAUCAGCCGCCUCCCUCUUCAUCUCUCUCCGCCUCUUCCUCCCCUUCCUCUCUCCUUCCCUCUCCUCUCCAAUCUCGUUCCCUCUUCCCCUCCUUCUAUCUUUCCAGCCCCUCCUCCCUCUCUUCUCUCCCUCUUCUUUCCUCUUCCCUUCUUUCCGACAAGGAAGCUGCUGGUCCAACAGCUAGACAGAAGUAGAAACAAGAACAAGCAGCAGCAGCCCCCACCGGCGGAGAAGGCACCAGCCAGCAGCCGCUGGCAGCGACCUUCUCCCUCUCGACUUCCUCUCUGCCUCCACCACUCUCUCCAACGCCUCCCGCCAGCCGCACAACAGUGACCGGCAAACUGCCAGGCAGCAGCGAGAAGUAGCAGCGAUGGAGGCUGCUCCGACCAGCAGCAUCAGCUGCGAAGAGGGGGGGACAACCAUCUCUCUCCCCUGUUUUCUCCCCUCCUUCCGCCUCCUCCCUCUCCCGUAUUUCUCCACUUCUCCCUCGCUAUUUCUCCCCUCUUCUCGUCUCCUCUUCUCCUUCGUCCUCUUUGUCUUUUUUUCUUCUUUCUUGCAGGUUUGACAAGGAAGCAGUCCAGCAGCACCAUCAGCCGGCAUCACUGCUCCAACCGGAAAAAUCAGCAACAACUGUUCCGACAAAGUUCGCAGUUCAAAUAACUCCAGCAAGCUUCAACGAAAAAAAAACAACUGUAAGAAUUCCGUUGAGGUUGAGGUUUUAAUACGCUAGAGAUGGGUCUCUUCAGACCUACCCGGGUUUGUUUUCUUUGUUCAAUUUAUCAUCCUAAUUUCUUUUCCUCAUUCUGAUUUGGUCGAACUGUUUGUCUGUUGCUCCAUAGGUUUACAUAUGAGUUUUACUUAAUAGUUUAUUGAUUUAACUUGUUAGUUCAUAUGUUUAACAUUUUAAUUAUUAAAUAUUAUGGUGUAUUGUAAUGUCAUAUAUGCGAUAUAAAGCCCCUGAGAGAUUUUGUUAUGAUGCAUUAUAUUUGCUCCAAUAUGGAUCCGUCCAUUUGCUUGAAUUCGUAUGCUUAGCGCUAAGGGCUAAGUCUUUGUUUAUAUAAACUCUGUCAUUGUUUCUUAUUGUCUAGAGUCGAGUUUUUCUUUGAAUAUGUACAAUAGUGAUAUACUCUUGAGCCCUGAGGUGUAUUUUUCAGAGAUCCUUCAUCUUAUUUGUCAAUUGUUGAUUCUGUUUGCUAUUGUCUCUUAUUAGGAUAUUUAUGGUAAAUUUGCAUUGAUAGCAUCUCUUACUUAAUUUAUUUGGUAAAAGGAGUUGCAUGAUUGUUUGAUUGAAAAUUGUCUAAUGAAUUGCUUACUCAUGCAUCUUUGGCAAAAGAUAAAUCUGAUUCGUCUCUCUCCCUUUGAAAUUAAUUGAUCCCUUUUUCCUUACUUAAAAAGUGACUGAUUUUUUACUUAUUUUUAUAUGGUAAAAUAAUAUUAUUUUUUGCUCUUCUUUAAGAAAAAUAUUCUCUUAUUUAUUUAUAUUUGGUAAAAAUAUAAGGUAAAGGCUAAUUUCUUACUUGUUUAUAUUUGGUAAAAAAAAAAUAAUAAUAAUUAAUUAUUUUCUGAUUUUGAAUUCUUCUUCAUUUGUGAAAAAAUAUUACUUUAUUAAUCUAUUCUUACUUUUUUAUAUUUGGUAAUGAAAUAUUUUAAAAUUUUCUGAUUUGGUCCUCUUUUAUAAUAAGGAAAACAAUAUUUAAUUGAUUCCUUUAAAUAUUUUAUUUUUCCUUAUUUGUUUUCCCCUCUUUGCUAUAUAAAUAAGACCCCUUUUAUUCAUUAUUAGAGGAACUCAUCAACAUACACUCAUUCACACACUCUUCUACUAACUCUUACAAGUUCUCUCAUUCUCUUAUUGCUCAUACACACAUUCAACUCAUCAACACAACAACCCAUUCAUUCUCAACCAAAAAUUCUCUCAUCACUCUCCCUCCUCUCAUUGCUCUCUUGCUACUUUAAACAACAUUAAUAUUUCGGUGAAUAUUCAAGUGCUUUUCUUCGCUAUUUUUCUACUUUGUUCGAGUAAAAGGUGAAUCAUCUUGUUUUGUUUAACAGGUUAGUAUUCUUAACAUUCAUACUAUUUUCAUAUCCACAUUUGUGUAAACCAUUGUCUGUUUUUUAUAUAGAGUCCGUCACUAAAUGAUUGCAUAUUGUCUCACCUUAACUAACAAGUGUGAUUACUUGUGUAGUUAUUUAAUUACUUUGACAGGUUUCAUAUUUGAAGUUCAAGUUGAGGAUUAAUUGAAGAAGGAUUUGUUUAUUUGUUUGAAUGUACAUAUAUAUAUAUUUUUAUUUUUUCCGCUAUUUUAUUUAUUUGAAUGAUGUAACAAUUGUAACCCUAAAGAUCAUAUAAUAAAGUUAUUUGGGGGUCGUCUAGGGGAGGGGGAUUUAUAUGCUUACUUGCUCAUUAUUUUUUUUUUUAGAAAUCAUGCCUAUAGGUUUGUCUUUAACCACCUAGAUUUGAUAUUUGUAGGUGUUAUAAUCUAAUCAAUUUUCAAUUUGCUUGACGUUUAUUUAACAAGUCUUAAAAAAAAUAAGAACUAGAAUCCGUUAAUUUUUAAAUGUUAAAAUCAAAUCCUAAUAAAUCUAGUAGGUUAUUAGAUAUUAAAAUAUUAAAUCCCCAUUUGUCUUAUCAUGUAAAAACCAUGUCUAAGGUUUAAUUUGUUCAUACCAUUUACAAAUUAUGCAUAUAUGUGUCACUUUUUGAAACACCUAGAAAUCAUGUCUAUAGGCUUGUAAAUAAACUCUUAACAUAUCCAUAAAAAUGAAGAUUUUCUGCAUUCCUUGCAAUAUUUUCUUAAAUUUUAAUGAUACUAAAUCAUUUCAUGCAUUUAACAAAAUAUUUGGCUUCGUCUUAAAACCUUUGCAUUUAAUAAAUUUAUCAUCUUAAUGUUCUACUAGUUUUAGUACUUAUAAAGUUUUGCAACAUAAUUUUCUUAAAAGUCAUUAUUCAAUCUUCCUUUGAAAUUUUGGAUUGAUUGUGACAUUAUUUUUAAAAUAAAGUACUAUCUCCUAACCUAUCGUUAGUGGGAAAGUCAAAGGAACUAUGAGGUCUAGUUCCAAUUUUUAAACCGACGCAUCCUCGGAAGUACCGCCUACCCAUGAAAAAAAAAAAUUAUGUGCAUUUAUAUGUAAAUGUUUAUGUGCCUACGUGUGAACUAAAUCUUUUAAAUCAUUUUUUCAAAAACAUAACUAUUUUUUAGACCGACCUCAAAUCAAAAAUUGUUUUCUAUGGUGGAGGAGCGCGAUCAAUAAUAUCGUGGCAUCAUCCCUAUAAAGAAACAAACAUUUUUUUAAUAAAAAUUCCUAUUCAAAACUUAUCAAUUUUCAACUUUAUUUUCGCACAUAUUAAUUGCUUAAUAUUUGCCAAUUUUGUUUAUAACAUAGUGUCGUAUGUCAAAAUAAAUAAAAUGAGCUUAAUUGUUUAUUUAUUGUCAUCAC